GUAUACUGUAUGUAACAUUAUAAAUUUUUAAAAUAUAUUUUUCAAGAUGAGGCAAUUGACCAAUUACUUAACAAGAUGAAUGAAUACAAUGGAUUGGAAAAUAAUGCAGCAAAAGCAAUCUAAUCUGGGGGGGGAAAUAUUGGACAUUUGAUGAUGUACAUGUUUUGUGGGCAGGAUUAAAGAAAGGAGCGGCGUCCAAAAACAUGCAUGUUAGUUUUCAAAUAACCUAACGUGCAUGUUUUGGGAUUGUGGGGGCAAACUGGGUCACCUGGAGAACAUGCACGCAAGCACCACACAGGAGAGGCUGAGCCGAGAUUCGAACCCAGCACCUCUGGACUGUAUGGCAGAUGUGCCGACAACCACGCUACGGGUACUAUGUUGUGCUCUUUUUGGCGACACCUGCCGCACUUGAGACGCAUUGCUUACACGAGCUGUCCAUUUAUUGCUGCUUUGUUAUCUCUUAUGUUUGUUUUGUUGAACCUUCAUUUAUCCAGGUCAGGCAAUUGUUGUUGUUUUUCCACAAUGCCAACCUGGCUGCAGGUAGAAGAGGAAAGCAAGGCAAUUCAAUAAAUGAACACAUGUACAACAAGCUGCACAAAUCAAAACAUAAAUAACACAACAUAAAACGAUCAUAAAUAACCAGCCAAAAUCUUUCUCUCCAAUUAAAAUACACCAUAUGCUCCCUUCACAUUUCCACUUGCCCGUUGUUCAAGGAGCAAGAUUGAUGCCUCCAGUACGAGGAAGAUGUCGCAAUGAGGGCGUGCAUGACGUCACGCACGCGCUCGCGCUACAGUUGAGUUUGAAACAACGCGCACUUGCAGAACAUGUAUGCAGACAGACAAAUGAGCGUUUUUGUUUGCGCGUGUCCAGCUGUGACACAGGACGGUAGACGUCGUGUCAUCACGUGGAAAGGACCGCGUCACGCGCUACGUGACGCGAACGGUCUCGUUGCUGUGUUUGCCGCGCUGACUUAUAAGGACAUAUAAGGACAUCCUGUGCGCCUCGACGGGAACAUGGCGGAGGCCGCCGCGGCUACACUUCAGCACCGCUUCUUCUGUCACUGCUGCAAGCGUGAAACGCAACCCUUACUCCCGGAUUUUGUCUGCCCCAGGUGCAAGUCCGAUUUUAUUGAGGAGGUGGAAGAUGACUCCAGACUCCUGGAGAACAACACGCCAGACACCAGUGAAGACUCUAACUCGUUGUACUCAGAAUUAUGGCAGCUGUUGUUCAUGGAGCGCUCUGCUCUGCUGUCGCACCCGCCGUCGUCGGAGUCAGAGCAGGAGGACAGCGAGAGGUUGCUUAGCGCUCAAAGUCGUCUUCCUUUAGUGCCAGCAGGCAAUGCUGAGGUCAGCGAGCUACGGGUUCUGUCUCUGCCCGGAGAGGAGGGGUCACAGAGGCCUGAAGUGGAAGGGAUUGUGCAGCACUACUUGGCCAACCUGUUUACGACCAACGCAAACCCCGGCGCUUCACCAGCUGCAUUAACAAGCAUGCUACAGCUGUACUCAAACCCUGCAGAUUAUGCAUGGGGUCAGGGGGGUCUGGAUACAGUCAUCACAGAGUUGUUAGGACAGUUGGAGAACACAGGUCCACCCCCUGCUGAAAAGAACAUGAUCUCAUCCUUGCCGACAGUUUACAUUUCUCAAGAGCAAACAGAGUGCAGAUUGGAGUGUACAAUUUGUAGGGAGGAGUAUUCAUUAGGGGAAUCUGCCCGGAAGCUCCCCUGCCUCCAUUACUUCCACAGUGAAUGCAUAGUGCCAUGGCUGGAGCUGGUAAGGAUGACCACUGACUUUGGGUCAAUGGUCUCAAGGGUGUGAAGACCUGUUCUAGGUGCCAUAUACUGUACCGACCUGAAUGGAAGACAAGUCAGAAAACAUUUGGGUUUCCCUCUAUAUUGAUGUAGUGGUGGGAGCUUAGUCUGUAAGGAUUUGGCUUUGGAAAACAUGGAAACAGGACACUUAUUAUUUGAGUGAUGCCACUCUCUGCUUCAUGUUGAGGCAUCCUUCAGUGUGGAUGUUAUAACAAAUUCUUGGAUUGAAUAGUUUGAUUGGUAGAUCAAUCAAUUUAGAAAACGUGGUUUACAAACAGUUGAAACCAGAUGUUGUCAGUUACAUACACUAUAUAAAAAGACAUGGUUUUUCGUUUUUUUUUUAAAUCAGACUAUACUUUUCCUGUUUUAGGUCAAUUAGGAUUACCAAAAUAAUUUCUAUUUGCUAAAUGCCAGAAUAAUGAAAGAAUUAUUUUUCAAGGCUUUCUUACUGACCGGUACUUACUUUCUUCUUGCUAAGUCAGACAUUUACAUACAGUAAAAGUACUAUGCCUUUUAAACAAAUUGGAAGCCCAGAUGAUGAUGAUGAUGAUGAUGAUGUAAUUUCUCUGGAAGCUUCUGAUAGGUUUAUUGACAACAUUUGCGUUAGAGAGACACCUGUGGAUGUAUUUGAAGUAGGCACACCUGAAACACACUCCCCAUGCCUGCCUGGGGUUUCUCCGGGCACUCCGGUUUCCUCCCACAUCCCAAAAACAUGCGUGGUAGGUUGAUUGAAGACUCUAAAUUGCCCAUAGGUGUGAAUGUGAGUGUGAAUGGUUGUUUGUUUCUAUGUGCCCUGUGAUUGGCUGGCGGCCAGUUCAGGGUGUACUGUACUUCCUGCCCGAAGAUAGCUGGGACAGGCUCCAGCACGCCAGUGACCCCAGUGAGGAGAAGCAGUACAGAAAAUGGAUGGAUGGACUUACUUAAUUGCCCAUAGAUGUGAACCAUGAUACCUGUCCAGUGUGCCGAAAAAGCCUCGACGGCGUCGACAAUAGCCGCCUCCUGCACGCAUCACAC